rnacentral:rRNA from 1 species
UUUCCGCCCCUUAGUGCUGCAGCUAACGCAUUAAGCACUCCGCCUGGGGAGUACGACCGCAAGGUUGAAACUCAAAGGAAUUGACGGGGGCCCGCACAAGCGGUGGAGCAUGUGGUUUAAUUCGAAGCAACGCGAAGAACCUUACCAGGUCUUGACAUCCUUUGACCACUCUGGAGACAGAGCUUUCCCUUCGGGGACAAAGUGACAGGUGGUGCAUGGUUGUCGUCAGCUCGUGUCGUGAGAUGUUGGGUUAAGUCCCGCAACGAGCGCAACCCUUGAUUUUAGUUGCCAGCAUUUAGUUGGGCACUCUAAAGUGACUGCCGGUGCAAGCCGGAGGAAGGUGGGGAUGACGUCAAAUCAUCAUGCCCCUUAUGACCUGGGCUACACACGUGCUACAAUGGAUAGUACAAAGGGUCGCGAAGCCGCGAGGUGGAGCUAAUCCCAUAAAACUAUUCUCAGUUCGGAUUGUAGGCUGCAACUCGCCUACAUGAAGCCGGAAUCGC